GUAAAAUUGUCUGGCGUUAGAAAAGUAAAAAAAUAGAUGGGGCGCAUUGCGGUUCAAUGGGUUAACACAUAAAAGAACACACAGAGAAGAAAACCCAUAUGAAUGUGUUGUUUACAUGUGCAGGAAAUGUUCACAUGUGAUCAAUUCAAAAAGACUAAAAUAAUACACACUGGAUAAAAAAGUUUAUGAAUUUGUUAUUCCAUGGUCAAAUGUUUAGUACACUACUGAACAUAAGGAACAAUACUGGGAACAAUAUUUGCCAAUAGUCCUGGUAAAAAUAUUUAUUAGACCUGACAAUUUAAUUGAGAACACUAUUUGCAAUCAAAUAAUAAUACAUUUUUAAUUAGAUCAACCCUCACUUGCACUUGGCAAUUACUGACAGGGUUAAUAUUACAGUCAUAGUCAAUCUUAAUACACAACAUAUAGUUCAGUAUAGUAGGCAGGAAUAAGCCAAAGUCAGUGACACAUUAUUUCACAAUAUUCUGCCAUUAGUAAAUAAACUUUGCCUUGCAAGACCUAGAAGAAAAUGGUAAAGGUUUAGAGAUUAAAAAUCUUGC